rnacentral:rRNA from 1 species
UACGUAGGGGGCAAGCGUUGUCCGGAUUCAUUGGGCGUAAAGAGCGUGUAGGCGGCCUGAAAGGUCAGCUGUGAAAACUCGAGGCUCAACCUCGAGACGUCGGUUGAAACCAUCUGGCUAGAGUCCGGAAGAGGAGUGUGGAAUUCCCGGUGUGAGCGGUGAAAUGCGCAGAUAUCGGGAAGAACACCCGUGGCGAAGGCGGCACUCUGGGACGGUACUGACGCUGAGACGGCGAAAGCGUGGGGAGCCGAACAGG